CCCAUUAGUUUUGUACCAUUUUUUUGUUUUUCUGAUUCUCAAUAGCAUAGAGUAUGACUUUUAGAAAUUUUUCUUCAAUGCUCUUAUGAACCUUGCCCCUGUUAAUUUUUUGCAUUUUCUUUUUCGCUCGGUGGAAAUCACUAAGUGGCGCUGAUUAGGCUGAGUCAUGAACAAGCCUUAGCUCCUUUUACCACACCUGAAGGUCCAUUAAGCCAUGCCAGGACAAGCUUGAUAUGGAUGAGGGUACAAUCGCAUGUGGCCAAAGUGCUGUCCCAUCAUGAUCAUCUUACUCUGAUUCCAUGAUGGUAUUUGAAGGGAAAACGAUAUGGUUAAUGCAAUUCUACUGAAGCAUCUAUUAAGGGAAAACUUACUGCCAUUAUCAUUAAGCCAUUGGAGAGAGAGAGAAACGGAAAAGUAAGAAAAAGAGAGGGAAAAAGAGUUAGAUGAGAAAGAGGA